rnacentral:lncRNA from 1 species
GCCAGAGCAGGUGUGCCAAGCUACCAUGGAUUGUGCCUGUACUGUUGGUGCCCAGGAUGGGAUGGCUGUGGAGGCAGAGCUGGCUGAGCCCAUUAGCAAAUCUGCUUUCCCUGGUAGGAUCCUUUGUGCCUGGAGGUGCCUCCCAGACUGCUCUCCCGGGGACCUGCAGAGGCAACCUGCCCUUCGGUGUCUGCUGGAGGAACAAGGGGAGAGAGGGAAGAAGAGAUCACACCAUCUGUUGGAUCCAUAUAUUACAACAUUUGGUUGAUGGGCACCUCUUGAAAAAUAAUGAGGAUAUUCAGUUGCCCACUUGGUGCAGUGUGGAGGAGGAUCUGCACUGGCAGGGAUCACCAGGAUGGCUGCAGCUCAGGAGGAACCACAGGGCUUCAAGGCACCACAGAAAAAGAUCCAGG